ACUAUGUGCCAGCAGCCGCGGGUAAUACGUAGGGUGCAAGCGUUGUCCGGGAAUUAUUGGGCGUAAAGAGCUCGUAGGCGGUUCGUCGCGUCGGCUGUGAAAACCCGGAGCUCAACUCCGGGCUGCAGUCGAUACGGGCGGACUCGAGUUCGGCAGGGGAGACUGGAAUUCCUGGUGUAGCGGUGAAAUGCGCAGAUAUCAGGAGGAACACCGGUGGCGAAGGGCGGGUCUCUGGGCCGAUACUGACGCUGAGGAGCGAAAGCGUGGGGAGCGAACAGGAUUAGAUACCCUGGUAGUCCACGCCGUAAACGUUGGGCGCUAGGUGUGGGGGCCAUUCCACGGUCUCCGUGCCGCAGCUAACGCAUUAAGCGCCCCGCCUGGGGAGUACGGCCGCAAGGCUAAAACUCAAAGGAAUUGACGGGGGCCCGCACAAGCGGCGGAGCAUGUUGCUUAAUUCGAUGCAACGCGAAGAACCUUACCUAGGCUUGACAUGCACGGAAAUCUCGCAGAGAUGCGGGGUCCGUAAGGGCCGUGCACAGGUGGUGCAUGGUUGUCGUCAGCUCGUGUCGUGAGAUGUUGGGUUAAGUCCCGCAACGAGCGCAACCCUCGUUCCAUGUUGCCAGCACGUGAUGGUGGGGACUCAUGGGAGACUGCCGGGGUCAACUCGGAGGAAGGUGGGGAUGACGUCAAAUCAUCAUGCCCCUUAUGUCUAGGGCUGCAAACAUGCUACAAUGGCCGGUACAAAGGGCUGCGAUACCGUGAGGUGGAGCGAAUCCCAAAAAGCCGGUCUCAGUUCGGAUUGGGGUCUGCAACUCGACCCCAUGAAGUUGGAGUCGCUAGUAAUCGCAGAUCAGCAACGCCGCGGUGAAUACGUUCCCGGG
rnacentral:rRNA from 1 species